CGNGUNNGGAGACUCUGACCAGCCAUGCCGCGUGCAGGAAGACUGCCCUAUGGGUUGUAAACUGCCCUUUAUCNGGGAAUAAACCUAAAUACGUGUAUUUAGCUGAAUGUACCGGAAGAAUAAGGAUCGGCUAACUCCGUGCCAGCAGCCGCGGUAAUACGGAGGAUCCAAGCGUUAUCCGGAUUUAUUGGGUUUAAAGGGUGCGUAGGCGGCCUGUUAAGUCAGGGGUGAAAGACGGUAGCUCAACUAUCGCAGUGCCCUUGAUACUGAUGGGCUUGAAUGGACUAUUAGGUAGGCGGAAUGAGACAAGUAGCGGUGAAAUGCAUAGAUAUGUCUCAGAACACCGAUUGCGAAGGCAGCUUACUAUGGUCUUAUUGACGCUGAGGCACGAAAGCGUGGGGAUCAAACAGGAUNANAUACCCUGGUANUCCACGCCCUAAACGAUGAACACUCGCUGUUGGCGAUACACAGUCAGCGNCUNANCNAAAGCNUUAAGUGUUCCACCUGGNNAGUACNCCCNC
rnacentral:rRNA from 1 species